rnacentral:rRNA from 1 species
CGCGUAGGCGGCUUGACAAGUCAGGUGUGAAAUCCCCGAGCUUAACUUGGGAAUUGCAUCUGAAACUGUCGAGCUUGAGUCCUGGAGGGGAUAGCGGAAUUCCCAGUGUAGCGGUGAAAUGCGUAGAUAUUGGGAGGAACACCUGUGGCGAAGGCGGCUAUCUGGACAGUGACUGACGCUGAGGCGCGAAAGCUAGGGGAGCGAACG